AUUGAACGCUGGCGGCAGGCCUAACACAUGCAAGUCGAACGAGUGGCGGACGGGUGAGUAAUGUCUGGGAAACUGCCCGAUGGAGGGGGAUAACUACUGGAAACGGUAGCUAAUACCGCAUACCAUCGGAUGUGCCCAGAUGGGAUUAGCUUGUAGGUGAGGUAACGGCUCACCUAGGCGACGAUCCCUAGCUGGUCUGAGAGGAUGACCAGCCACACUGGGAAGGAGACACGGUCCAGACUCCUACGGGAGGCAGGAGUAGGGAAUAUGGAGAAAUGGGCGAAAGCCUGAGGCAGCAAUGACGCGUGUGUGAAGAAGGCCUUCGGAUUGUAAAGUACUUUCGGGGGGGAGGCGUUACCCGCAGAAAAAGCACCGGCUAACGCCGUGCCAGCAGCCGCGGUAAUUC
rnacentral:rRNA from 1 species